UGUUCUGUGGCUUAAAUAGUUGGUUAAAGCGCCGGUCAGCGAAUACGGAGUUGUGGGUUCGAAUCUCAUCAGAACAC
rnacentral:tRNA from 1 species